rnacentral:tRNA from 1 species
GCGGAUGUAGUUUAAUGGUAGAACUUCAGCUUCCCAAGCUGGUAACGCGGGUUCGAUUCCCGUCGUCCGCU